rnacentral:rRNA from 1 species
CGUAGGGGGCAAGCGUUGUCCGGAUUUACUGGGCGUAAAGCGCGCGUAGGCGGAAGCUUAAGUGUGGCCUGAAAGCCCCCGGCUCAACCGGGGAGGGUGGCUGCAAACUGGGUUUCUUGAGGGCGAUAGAGGAGAGUGGAAUUCCUGGUGUAGCGGUGAAAUGCGUAGAUAUCAGGAGGAACACCGGUGGCGAAGGCGGCUCUCUGGGUCGGCCCUGACGCUGAGGUGCGAAAGCGUGGGGAGCGAACGGGAUUAGAUACCCCGGUAGUCCACGCCGUAAACGAUGGUCACUAGGUGUGUGCGGUAUCGACCCCGCACGUGCCGCAGCUAACGCAAUAAGUGACCCGCCUGGGGAGUACGGCCGCAAGGUUG